UACAGAGGGUGCAAGCGUUUGUUCGGAAUUAUUGGGCGUAAAGCGCGUGUAGGCGGCUUUGCAAGUCGGGUGUGAAAGCCCUCAGCUCAACUGAGGAAGUGCGCCCGAAACUGCAGAGCUUGAGUGCCGGAGAGGGUGGCGGAAUUCCCCAAGUAGAGGUGAAAUUCGUAGAUAUGGGGGAGGAACACCGGUGGCGAAAGGCGG
rnacentral:rRNA from 1 species